ensembl:lncRNA
CGCGCGCGGGGGGGGGGCUCGAUUUCACACCGUGGCUGUGUCUCAUUUAGAAGGCCACGUCCUCCGGAGGUCGCAUCCUCUGGAGGUCGAAUCCUCUCUAGGAUGCGUAUACGGAGUGUCCUUAACCCUGGGAUUAAACGAGACGGCCUUCGUAGGACGUACGGAAAAGGAAACAGGAAGUAUCACGUUGCUAUGCCAACACAUAGCGUCGUUGCGCUCUCACACUUGUUAAAGAAAAAAAUAUUAGGAAAAUUAUUUCUAAAUUUGAAAAGAAAAUGUUUUUACUUGUUUUAUUUUAUUCAAUGUUUGAGGAGCUACAGCGUACGUACAACAGACAUUUGUUAGAGAGAAAAAAGAGGAGGAUGCAUGUCAAGAACAAAGUUUAUCCGUUUUUACCGGCGGAGGUUUGAGGUAAUAGCGUCAUCCACCAUGCUGCACAACAUCUGCCUUAGUGUUGGCGACAUUAUACAACCAGACGACAGCCAAGAAGAAGAGGAAGAUGAUGUGGAGGCAUGCAAUCAAGUAGAGGCAGUAUCUGGAGCAGCAUGGCGUUUGAGAUUGUGCAACCAAGUGUCUGCCUUACAGGAUGUCAACCAGGACCAUGACUACAUAAUUCAUCCUAAUACAUAAUUCAUCCUAAUUAAAAAUGUAAGUUGAACACACUUAAUACAAUUUAAUUUAAUUUGGCUACAAAUACUGAUUUUAAAAUGAAAUUUAUAAUUACCUAUACUUAAGUUUAAUAUAGUUUAUACAGAAUUAUAAAUGGAUAACUGAUUACCUUAUAAUGGAAUUUUAAAAUCCUUAACCCAGUAUAUAUAUAUAUUUUCUUCUUCUUUUGUUCUUAGGCUUACUAAGAAGUCAGCAUGAAAGCUCACACAACACAUGACAUCUUUUUCACAAUAUAUCUUUAAUUUUGUUAAUGUGUAACCAAAGAUUCAUUUAAGAUUUUUUAAGCCAUUUAGAAUUUAUUACUUUAAAGAUUUAGUGAAAUGUUGUCUACAGAUUUACCUUUUUAAUAUUUGUAAGUAACGACUGUAGUAAAUAUUGUAAAUAGUUUUAUUACAUUUUAUCAAUUAAUUUUUCGAGUAAAUUAAAGAGCCUUUCACUCCUUGCCCUGUCUUCUGCAUCUCUCCUUUCUUCCCACUCCUUCUGACGUGCCAUGUCUUCCUUCAGGAGCUCAACAAGAGGAUCUGAUUUAUUUUUUCUCUUUCUUGGUUGUGACUGCUCUAUCCCUGCCCUCUCCUGCUGUUCUGCUUCCUGGGUAGGCUCAACAGAACUGCAACCUGGCUGUGGUUCGUCAUCAGGCAGUGAAGCAAUGAGAACAGGGGGAGAAAUGGAAGGCCUCUGACCCAACAUCUCAUCCAUCAGGCAAACCACGGCCAGGUUUCAGCAGUUGGCUUUCCGUUGUUCAUGCCCUCACCUGACCCUGGAUUUUUUGCAUUCCUAAGACAAAAAAAAAAUGGUAAUGGUGGUGGCAUAAAUACUCACUCAUGUCACCUCUGAGCCUCAUUAAAUGUCUGAAAAUAUACCUACGAGCAGAAGAAUACACUUUUGUGUUCUUCUGUGCGCCUCUGUAGUACAAAAUAAUUUAGCUAAUACUGAUUUUAUAUGAUUGGUAACUUAUUCUUCU